GACAGAGGGUGCAAACGUUGCUCGGAAUCACUGGGCGUAAAGGGCGUGUAGGCGGGUAGAUAAGUCGGGCGUGAAAUCCCUAGGCUCAACCUAGGAACUGCACUCGAAACUGUUUAUCUUGAGUGCCGGAGAGGAAAGCGGAAUUCCUGGUGUAGAGGUGAAAUUCGUAGAUAUCAGGAGGAACACCAGUGGCGAAGGCGGCUUUCUGGACGGUAACUGACGCAUGAG
rnacentral:rRNA from 1 species